CCUACGGGGUGCAGCAGUGGGGAAUAUUGGACAAUGGGCGAAAGCCUGAUCCAGCCAUGCCGCGUGUGUGAAGAAGGCCUUCGGGUUGUAAAGCACUUUCAGUGGGGAAGAAAGCCUUGGGGCUAAUACCCUCGAGGAAGGACAUCACCCACAGAAGAAGCACCGGCUAACUCCGUGCCAGCAGCCGCGGUAAUACGGAGGGUGCGAGCGUUAAUCGGAAUUACUGGGCGUAAAGCGCGCGUAGGCGGUCUGAUAAGCCGGUUGUGAAAGCCCCGGGCUCAACCUGGGAACGGCAUCCGGAACUGUCAGGCUAGAGUGCAGGAGAGGAAGGUAGAAUUCCCGGUGUAGCGGUGAAAUGCGUAGAGAUCGGGAGGAAUACCAGUGGCGAAGGCGGCCUUCUGGACUGACACUGACGCUGAGGUGCGAGAGCGUGGGUAGCAAACAGGAUUAGAUACCCUAGUAGUC
rnacentral:rRNA from 1 species